GUGAGGAAUAUUGCGCAAUGGAGGCAACUCUGACGCAGCCAUGCCGCGUGCAGGAAGAAGGCGCUACGCGUUGUAAACUGCUUUUAACCGGGAAGAAACCCCAGGACGUGUCCUGGGUUGACGGUACCGGAGGAAUAAGCACCGGCUAACUUCGUGCCAGCAGCCGCGGUAAUACGAAGGGGGCAAGCGUUAUCCGGAUUCAUUGGGUGUAAAGGGUGCGUAGGCGGAGCGUUAAGUCAGUGGUGAAAUCCUGCAGCUUAACUGUAGACUUGCCAUUGAUACUGGCGCUCUUGAGUGCGCUUGAAGUGGGCGGAAUGUGCCGUGUAGCGGUGAAAUGCUUAGAUAUGGCACAGAACACCAAUUGCGAAGGCAGCUCACUAAGGCGAUACUGACGCUGAGGCACGAAAGCGUGGGGAUCGAACAGGAUUAGAAACCCGAGUAGUCC
rnacentral:rRNA from 1 species